AAGUCGUAACAAGGUUUCCGUAGGUGAACCUGCGGAAGGAUCAUUAACACGUAUCCAACGUUAAACAACCCUGUGAACUUUCAACCGCUCUUGUAGCCCACGCGGAACAGCAAUCCCGGUAAAUCAAUUGGAGAAAAGGUUUUGAUUCGGGAUCCAUAGCAGUGGCAUGGUUUCCCUAAGCAGUGCAGAAGGAUCCACUGAGUAAGGAUAACGCCUCACGGUUGCCAGAGGUCGAUCACCGGCCGGCAGACAUUUCACACCUUGCCCUAUCUGGCCCAAACCGAACAACUGUUAACAAUGGAUAUCUUGGUUCUC
rnacentral:misc_RNA from 1 species